UACGAAGGGGGCUAGCGUUGCUCGGAAUCACUGGGCGUAAAGCGCACGUAGGCGGAUCUUUAAGUCAGGGGUGAAAUCCUGGAGCUCAACUCCAGAACUGCCUUUGAUACUGGAGAUCUCGAGUCCGGAAGAGGUGAGUGGAACUCCGAGUGUAGAGGUGAAAUUCGUAGAUAUUCGGAAGAACACCAGUGGCGAAGGCGGCUUACUGGUCCGGUUCUGACGCUGAGGCGCGAAAGCGUGGGGAGCAAACAGG
rnacentral:rRNA from 1 species